AGUGAACGCUGGCGGUAGGCCUAACACAUGCAAGUCGAACGGCAGCACAGUAAGAGCUUGCUCUUACGGGUGGCGAGUGGCGGACGGGUGAGGAAUACAUCGGAAUCUACUUUUUCGUGGGGGGUAACGUAGGGAAACUUACGCUAAUACCGCAUACGACCUACGGGUGAAAGCAGGGGAUCUUCGGAUCUUGCGCGAUUGAAUGAGCCGAUGUCGGAUUAGCUAGUUGGUGGGGUAAAGGCCCACCAAGGCGACGAUCCGUAGCUGGUCUGAGAGGAUGACCAGCCACACUGGAACUGAGACACGGUCCAGACUCCUACGGGAGGCAGCAGUGGGGAAUAUUGGACAAUGGGCGCAAGCCUGAUCCAGCCAUACCGCGUGGGUGAAGAAGGCCUUCGGGUUGUAAAGCCCUUUUGUUGGGAAAGAAAAGCAGCAGGUUAAUACCCCGCUGUUCUGACGGUACCCAAAGAAUAAGCACCGGCUAACUUCGUG
rnacentral:rRNA from 1 species